AGCAGUCGCCACGGUAAUACGGAGGAUCCAAGCGUUAUCCGGAAUCAUUGGGUUUAAAGGGUCCGUAGGCGGUCUUGUAAGUCAGUGGUGAAAGCCCAUCGCUCAACGGUGGAACGGCCAUUGAUACUGCAGGACUUGAAUUAUUGGGAAGUAACUAGAAUAUGUAGUGUAGCGGUGAAAUGCUUAGAGAUUACAUGGAAUACCAAUUGCGAAGGCAGGUUACUACCAAUUGAUUGACGCUGAUGGACGAAAGCGUGGGUAGCGAACAGGAUUAGAGACCCCCGUAGUCCCUGUCUCUUAUAC
rnacentral:rRNA from 1 species